rnacentral:rRNA from 1 species
AUUGAACGCUGGCGGCAGGCUUGACACAUGCAAGUCGAGCGGGGUGAUGGUGCUUGCACUAUCACUUAGCGGCGGACGGGUGAGUAAUGCUUCGGAAUCUGCCUAUUAGUGGGGGACAACAUCUCGAAAGGGAUGCUAAUACCGCAUACGUCCUACGGGGGAAAGCAGGGGAUAACUUGUGACCUUGUGCGAAUAGAUGAGCCUAAGUCGGAUUAGCUAGUUGGUGGGGUAGAGGCAUACCAAGGCGACGAUCUGUAGCGGGUCUGAGAGGAUGAUCCGCCACACUGGGACUGAGACACGGCCCAGACUCCUACGGGUGGCAGCAGUGGGGAAUUUGGACAAUGGGGGGAACCCUGAUCCAGCCAUGCCGCGUGUGUGAAGAAGGCCUUAUGGUUGUAAAGCACUUUAAGCGAGGAGGAGGCUCUUUUGGUUAAUACCCAGAAUGAGUGGACGUUACUCGCAGAAUAAGCACCGGCUAACUCUGUGCCAGCCGCCGCCGUAA